rnacentral:rRNA from 1 species
AUGACGACCGGAUCCAACGCCGACCACUACGGCCCGCCCUCCUACCCGCAGCGCCGCCCGCACUACGGGGGCGCCCCGCCCUCCUACGGCUCCUCGGCCUCCUUCCGCGGCUGCUGCUGCUGCAUCUUCAUGCUCGUCAUCUUCCUCGCCCUCCUCGCCCUCGCCGUCGCGCUCGUCGUCGUCCUCGCCGUCAAGCCCCGCAAGCCCCAGUUCGACCUCGACCAGGUCGCCGUCCAGUACCUCCUCGUCGCCCCGCCCUCCCCGGCCGCCUCGCCGAACGUCGCCGAGGCCCCCGCCGCCGCCUACCUCUCCCUCAACAUCACGCUCCUCUUCACCGCCGUGAACCCCAACAAGGUGGGCAUCCGCUACGCCGCCACGGCGUUCGACGUCAUGUACCACGGGGUGCCGCUCGGGGUGGCGGCCGUACCCGGGUUCGAGCAGCCCGCCCACAGCACCCGCCUGCUCCAGACCCGCGUCAUCGUCGACCGCUUCAACGUGCUCCAGUCCGACGCCCAGGACCUCAUCCGCGACGCCGCGCUCAACGACCGCGUCGAGUUCCGCAUCACCGGCGACGUCGCCGCCAAGAUCCUCGUGCUCGGCUUCUCCUCCCCCAAAGUCCAGGUGUCGGUGGACUGCGCGAUCGACAUCAGUCCCAAGAGGCAGUCGGUGACAUACAAGCAAUGCGGCGUGGACGGGCUAAGCGUGUAG